rnacentral:rRNA from 1 species
GGGAUUGCCCUAGUAACGGCGAGUGAAGCGGCAACAGCUCAAAUUUGAAAUCUGGCCUCGGCCCGAGUUGUAAUUUGCAGAGGAUGCUUCUGGCGCGGUGCCUUCCGAGUUCCCUGGAACGGGACGCCACAGAGGGUGAGAGCCCCGUAUGGUCGGACACCAAGCCUGUGUGAAGCUCCUUCGACGAGUCGAGUAGUUUGGGAAUGCUGCUCUAAAUGGGAGGUAAAUCUCUUCUAAAGCUAAAUACCGGCCAGAGACCGAUAGCGCACAAGUAGAGUGAUCGAAAGAUGAAAAGCACCUUGAAAAGGGGGUUAAAUAGUACGUGAAAUUGUUGAAAGGGAAGCACUUGUGACCAGACUUGGGCCGGGCGGCUCAUCAGGGGUUCUCCCCUGUGCAUUCCGCCCGGCACAGGCCAGCAUCGGUUUUCGCGGGGGGAUAAGACCGGCGGGAACGUAGCACCCUCCGGGGUGUGUUAUAGCCCACCGGACGAUACCCCCGCGGGGACCGAGGUCCGCGCUCCGGCAAGGAUGCUGGCGUAAUGGUCACCAGUGACCCGUCUUGAAACACGGACCAAGGAGUCGUCCAUUAGAGCGAGCGUUUGGGUGUAAAACCCGCACGCGUAAUGAAAGUGAACGCAGGUGAGAGCUUCGGCGCAUCAUCGACCGAUCCUGAUGUUCUCGGAAGGAUUUGAGUAAGAGUUUUAACGGACGGACCCGAAAGACAGUGAACUAUGCUUGUAUAGGGUGAAGCCAGAGGAAACUCUGGUGGAGGCUCGCAGCGGUUCUGACGUGCAAAUCGAUCGUCAAAUAUGAGCAUGGGGGCGAAAGACUAAUCGAACUGUCUAGUAGCUGGUUACCGCCGAAGUUUCCCUCAGGAUAGCAGUGUUGAUCUUCAGUUUUAUGAGGUAAAGCGAAUGAUUAGGGACUCGGGGGCUAUAUACUGCCUUCAUCCAUUCUCAAACUUUAAAUAUGUAAGAAGCCCUUGUUACUUAGUUGAACGUGGGCAUUCGAAUGUACCAACACUAGUGGGCCAUUUUUGGUAAGCAGAACUGGCGAUGCGGGAUGAACCGAACGCGGGGUUAAGGCGCCAGAGUGUACGCUCAUCAGACACCACAAAAGGCGUUAGUACAUCUUGACAGCAGGACGGUGGCCAUGGAAGUCGGAAUCCGCUAAGGACUGUGUAACAACUCACCUGCCGAAUGUACUAGCCCUGAAAAUGGAUGGCGCUCAAGCGUACCGCCCAUACCCCGCCCCCAGGGUAGAAACGAUGCCCUGGGGAGUAGGCGGCCGUGGGGG